rnacentral:hammerhead_ribozyme from 1 species
AUCUAGCUGACGAGUCCCAAAUAGAACGAAACGCGUGUCAAACUGGAU